rnacentral:ncRNA from 1 species
ACCCCGCUUUUCCUCCCUGAGCGGGUCCUUUGCGCGUGACAGCAAAAAGGUUUUCAUGCCCGGCCCAAUCGCCGGGUUUUUUUGG